rnacentral:rRNA from 1 species
UACGGAGGGUGCAAGCGUUGUUCGGAUUUAUUGGGCGUAAAGCGCGUGUAGGCGGUCUUCUAAGUCUGAUGUGAAAGCCCUGGGCUCAACCCAGGAAGUGCAUUGGAUACUGGAAGACUUGAAUACGGGAGAGGGUAGUGGAAUUCCUAGUGUAGGAGUGAAAUCCGUAGAUAUUAGGAGGAACACCGGUGGCGAAGGCGGCUACCUGGACCGAUAUUGACGC